UACGGAGGGUGCGAGCGUUGUCCGGAUUUACUGGGCGUAAAGAGCGCGCAGGCGGUCGAUCAAGUCGAGUGUGAAAGCCCCCGGCUCAACUGGGGAGGGUCAUUCGAUACUGAUCGACUCGAAGGCAGGAGAGGGUAGUGGAAUUCCCGGUGUAGUGGUGAAAUGCGUAGAUAUCGGGAGGAACACCAGUGGCGAAGGCGACUACCUGGCCUGUUCUUGACGCUGAGGCGCGAAAGCUAGGGGAGCAAACGGG
rnacentral:rRNA from 1 species